rnacentral:rRNA from 1 species
UACGUAGGGGGCUAGCGUUGUCCGGAAUCAUUGGGCGUAAAGCGCGUGUAGGCGGUCCGGUAAGUCCGCUGUGAAAGUCGAGGGCUCAACCCUCGAAUGCCGGUGGAUACUGUCGGGCUUGAGUACGGGAGAGGCGAGUGGAAUUCCUGGUGUAGCGGUGAAAUGCGCAGAUAUCAGGAGGAACACCGAUUGCGAAGGCAGCUCGCUGGAACGUUACUGACGCUGAGACGCGAAAGCGUGGGGAGCAAACAAG